AUACGGAGGAUCCGAGCGUUAUCCGGGUUUAUUGGGUUUAAAGGGUGCGUAGGCGGCCUAUUAAGUCAGGGGUGAAAGACGGCAGCUUAACUGUCGCAGUGCCUUUGAUACUGAUAGGCUUGAAUGUGGUUGAAGAUGGCGGAAUGAGACAAGUAGCGGUGAAAUGCAUAGAUAUGUCUCAGAACUCCGAUUGCGAAGGCAGCUGUCUAAGUCAUUAUUGACGCUGAUGCACGAAAGCGUGGGGAUC
rnacentral:rRNA from 1 species